rnacentral:rRNA from 1 species
GACGAACGCUGGCGGCGUGCUUAACACAUGCAAGUCGAACGGAAAGGCCCUGCUUUUGUGGGGUGCUCGAGUGGCGAACGGGUGAGUAACACGUGAGUAACCUGCCCUUGACUUUGGGAUAACUUCAGGAAACUGGGGCUAAUACCGGAUAGGAGCUCCUGCUGCAUGGUGGGGGUUGGAAAGUUUCGGCGGUUGGGGAUGGACUCGCGGCUUAUCAGCUUGUUGGUGGGGUAGUGGCUUACCAAGGCUUUGACGGGUAGCCGGCCUGAGAGGGUGACCGGCCACAUUGGGACUGAGAUACGGCCCAGACUCCUACGGGAGGCAGCAGUGGGGAAUAUUGCACAAUGGGCGGAAGCCUGAUGCAGCAACGCCGCGUGCGGGAUGACGGCCUUCGGGUUGUAAACCGCUUUCGCCUGUGACGAAGCGUGAGUGACGGUAAUGGGUAAAGAAGCACCGGCUAACUACGUGCCAGCAGCCGCGGUGAUACGUAGGGUGCGAGCGUUGUCCGGAUUUAUUGGGCGUAAAGGGCUCGUAGGUGGUUGAUCGCGUCGGAAGUGUAAUCUUGGGGCUUAACCCUGAGCGUGCUUUCGAUACGGGUUGACUUGAGGAAGGUAGGGGAGAAUGGAAUUCCUGGUGGAGCGGUGGAAUGCGCAGAUAUCAGGAGGAACACCAGUGGCGAAGGCGGUUCUCUGGGCCUUUCCUGACGCUGAGGAGCGAAAGCGUGGGGAGCGAACAGGCUUAGAUACCCUGGUAGUCCACGCUGUAAACGGUGGGUACUAGGUGUGGGGUCCAUUCCACGGGUUCCGUGCCGUAGCUAACGCUUUAAGUACCCCGCCUGGGGAGUACGGCCGCAAGGCUAAAACUCAAAGGAAUUGACGGGGCCCCGCACAAGCGGCGGAGCAUGCGGAUUAAUUCGAUGCAACGCGUAGAACCUUACCUGGGUUUGACAUGGAUCGGGAGCGCUCAGAGAUGGGUGUGCCUCUUUUGGGGUCGGUUCACAGGUGGUGCAUGGCUGUCGUCAGCUCGUGUCGUGAGAUGUUGGGUUAAGUCCCGCAACGAGCGCAACCCUUGUUCACUGUUGCCAGCACGUUAUGGUGGGGACUCAGUGGAGACCGCCGGGGUCAACUCGGAGGAAGGUGGGGAUGACGUCAAGUCAUCAUGCCCCUUAUGUCCAGGGCUUCACGCAUGCUACAAUGGCUGGUACAGAGAGUGGCGAGCCUGUGAGGGUGAGCGAAUCUCGGAAAGCCGGUCUCAGUUCGGAUUGGGGUCUGCAACUCGACCUCAUGAAGUCGGAGUCGCUAGUAAUCGCAGAUCAGCAACGCUGCGGUGAAUAUGUUCCCGGGGCU